rnacentral:tRNA from 1 species
UGGCUCAGUGGUUAAGAGCACUGGUUUCUCUUCUAGAGAACCUGGGUUCAAUUCCCAG